GAAGAUAAGUAUCCCAGGAACUUCAAAGAUGUUUGAAACUGACUCCAGCUAAAAAGAGGAAGAUAAACAACAACGAAAUAUCAUACAGAUGAUGUCGUAAGAAAUAAAUCAGCUUUACCAGCAAAGCCUACACUUUGUGAUCUUAUUUGAAAAUUGACAUUAAAGAUAAGAUCUUACUCUAAUUUAUUGCUGCCCUGUUAUAAUCAGGAUGAACCACCAAUGCAAAUCUCAACACCAUUCCCACCUAUUCUGGCAAUCAAACAUUGGAAUCCGCAUGACUCCAGUUCAGCAAUUACUUUAUCAACAACUGUUCCUGAUAACAAGGUUGGUAGCAGAGUCAGUACGCAACCCCCACCCCCUGCUCCAGUCAACUUGGAAGCUAACUUGUAUUUCAAUGUUGUCCGAAGAACAGUUUCUAUAGAAGCAUGGCUGACCCCCAUGCAUUGAAGCAAGCCUUGAUUCAUUUCCAUUAACUCUUCUAGCUUCUCUUCCUUCUCAGUUAUGGACACAUCAUCUGGAGCAGGUGACAGGAUGAUGUUAGCCAGAUCGUUACUGAUAGAAUCAACAGCAUUAAAAACAAAACUCAUGGCAUUCGGGUGCCGUAAAGUUCUCUCUGAAACGCCAGCAACCAGUGCUUUUGUGUUCCUCCCAACUUUUGUGUUAGUAACAAGCAUUUUGAGCGGCAUUUUGGACACGAUGCGUGUCAGAUUACCAGACCUGAACUUGAUCAUGUUGCCUGUUAGGAAGACCAAAAGAAAUACUACACAAAUCAGGAAGCAAAAUAUUCCAAUUAAAGGAACUUGAAUUUUUCUGAUCCUGUUCAUAGUAUUUCAGCACGAUGCACAUAAUAGUUUGUUCCAAUCAAUGCUUGACUGCAAAACCUAGCUGUUAUGAAUUAUGAUGCAGAGAUAAAGAAGGUAGAGUAUGUACACAUGAAAAAUCUGUCGGUAUACCUCACCAAUUUAUACGUACCAUAUGUGCUGACAGUGUUGUCUAUUCCAGAUGGCUUUCCAUGAAUUAUCUUUUCACCUUCAAAAGCCCAGUUGUUUAAUAAUUCAAGGUCAGGCUCCCCAAACAUUGACCACCCUUGGUGCUGUGCGUCCACAUUUACAGAGUCUGAGAGAGCAAGUAGAGCAGCUGAGAGGGCAACACAAAAUGCAGCAGAUGAUCCUAGGCCUGAACCCAGUGGAAGGUCAGAAGUGACAACUACAGUGGCAGGCUUAAAUCCUCGAAUAGAUGUAUAUAACCAUAAAAAGGCUGAUACUCCCGAAGCAAGUGCAAUUUUUGCCUCUGGGAUAUUUUGUUCUUCAACCAAAGCUGAAAUUGACUUAAGUGAUUCCAUCGAGCAAGACGUGGGUGUUGAAGAGGAAGGAGCACCCAAAUUAGAUAAUGCUUCUUUGAUUCUCCCAAUUGGCCAUGAAAAUUCUAGUGCCACAUCCUUGAGCUGAAGUUUCAGUGAAUCAUCAUUCUCAGCGGUGGGAAAAGAAAUAGUGGCAUAGGUGUAGAGAUCAAUAGACGCAGCGACUGCAGUGGAUCCGUGCACCACUGCGUGUUCACCGGAGAGAAUGAUUUUCCCAGGAGCCCUUGCUUUCACUUCCAUUGUUUUCCGUACCUCUCAAAUCCCAAUUACCUGUUUCGAGAAAUCUUCAAUCGUUGAAGUCAUCUAGCUCAGCGCGCUCUGAGAUUUAUGGAUCCAUUAAUAGAGAAACUCAUGAUUGGGCACUUUUGGCGGAGAAAACCGAACCAAA
rnacentral:misc_RNA from 1 species